CAUUACCGAGUUUACAACUCCCAAACCCCUGUGAACAUACCACUUGUUGCCUCGGCGGAUCAGCCCGCUCCCGGUAAAACGGGACGGCCCGCCAGAGGACCCCUAAACUCUGUUUCUAUAUGUAACUUCUGAGUAAAACCAUAAAUAAAUCAAAACUUUCAACAACGGAUCUCUUGGUUCUGGCAUCGAUGAAGAACGCAGCAAAAUGCGAUAAGUAAUGUGAAUUGCAGAAUUCAGUGAAUCAUCGAAUCUUUGAACGCACAUUGCGCCCGCCAGUAUUCUGGCGGGCAUGCCUGUUCGAGCGUCAUUUCAACCCUCAAGCACAGCUUGGUGUUGGGACUCGCGUUAAUUCGCGUUCCUCAAAUUGAUUGGCGGUCACGUCGAGCUUCCAUAGCGUAGUAGUAAAACCCUCGUUACUGGUAAUCGUCGCGGCCACGCCGUUAAACCCCAACUUCUGAAUGUUGACCUCGGAUCAGGUAGGAAUACCCGCUGAACUUAAG
rnacentral:rRNA from 1 species